rnacentral:rRNA from 1 species
CAGUCGCCGCGGGAAUACGAGGGGUGCAGGCGUUAUUCGGAUUGAUUGGGUGUAAGGGGUGUGCAGACGGCUUAUUAAGUCACUUGUUAAAUUCUUCGGCCUAACUGAAGGUCUGCAAGUGAUACUGAUGAGCUAGAGGGUGGAAGAGAGAAGUGGAAUUCUCGGAGUAGCGGUAAAAUGCGUAGAUCUCGAGAGGAACACCAAUGGCGAAGGCAGCUUCUUGGUCCAUUCCUGACGUUCAUACACGAAAGCGUGGGGAGCAAACAGGAUUAGAUACCCCCGUAGUCCCUGUCUCUUAUAA